rnacentral:tRNA from 2 species
UUUAGUGUGGCAGAAAAGUGCUAUGGAUUUAAGUCCCAUAUAUAAAGGAUUUACCUUUCAUUAAAA